ensembl:lncRNA
GAGUGAAAUAGAACUGUUCGAGCUGGGGAAAUGUACAGAGAGCAAGAGAACAGUCAACUGGAAUGGCCUGACCAUACAGUGCUGGAGUUGCCACAGUAUAUUAAGAAGACAUCUCUACCCUAAUUGAAGCUUAUAGAUUAGUGGGAGAGGUAGACAAACUACUAGAAUUAUAAUGUUGGAAAUUGGCGAGUGUGAUGAAGAAAAAAUACAGCAGGGUAGUGGGCUAGAGAGAUAUAAAGCACUCAGUUUUAGAAAGGGUAUCUGGAAAGUUUUCUCUGAGGUGUCAUUUGGACAAAGAUCUGAAUGAAAUGAGAAUAAGCCAUGAAGAUAUCUAGGGCAACAGUGAUCCAGGUGGAGGGAAGAGCAAAGGCAAAGGCCCAGAUGUAGAAGUUGCUUGAUAUGUAUGAAAUAUAGUGAGGAGAAUAUAUUUGGAGUGUAAUGAAGUCAAAGAAAUCACCAGGAGCAAGAUACUGUGUCUCUAGGCCACGUGUCUUUGGAAACCCACUCCAAUAUUCUUGCCUGGAGAAUCUCAUGGAUGGAGGAGCCUGGUGGGCUACGGUCCAUGGGAUCGCAAAGAGUCGGACACAACUGAGUGACUUCACUUCACUUGGAAAAGAAAAAGCCUUUACUUUCAAUGAAGUCCGAUUCAUCAUUUUUUCUUUUAUAUUUUGUGGUGGUUGUCUCCUGUUUAAAAAAUAUUUUCCUGAUCCAAAGUCACUCAAUAUUUUUUAAAAAUUUUAUUCUAGAACAUUUCUAGUUUUAGCUUUUGCAUUUAGUUCAGUGAUUGAUUUCAAGUUAAUUGUUUUAUAUGGUGAGAGGUCAUGGUCAAAGUUCUUUUUUUUGCAUAUGGAUAUUUAAUUAUUCCAGUACCAAUUAUUGAAAUGAUUAUCCUUUCCCCACUUAACUGCAUUUUCAUUAUUCUGUACAUCAAUUGGCCACAUAUGUGUGGGUCUAUUUCUACACACUUCACUGUGUUUCAUUGAUCUAUAUAUUUAUAUUUAUAUUGCUUCUAUAGUCUCUUUAAAUCUGAGAAGGCAAUGGCAUCCCACUCCAGUACUCUUUUAAAAAACUAUCACUACUCUUUUCUUUUUCAAAAUUGUUUAGGUUAUUUUACAUUCCUUGCAUUUUCAUAUGAAUUUUA